rnacentral:rRNA from 1 species
CCUACGGGAGGCAGCAGCGGGGAAUAUUGGACAAUGGGCGCAAGCCUGAUCCAGCAAUGCCGCGUGAGUGAUGAAGGCCUUAGGGUUGUAAAGCUCUUUUACCAGGGAUGAUAAUGACAGUACCUGGAGAAUAAGCUCCGGCUAACUCCGUGCCAGCAGCCGCGGUAAUACGGAGGGAGCUAGCGUUGUUCGGAAUUACUGGGCGUAAAGCGUACGUAGGCGGUUAUUCAAGUCAGAGGUGAAAGCCCGGGGCUCAACCCCGGAACUGCCUUUGAAACUAGGUAGCUAGAAUCUUGGAGAGGUCAGUGGAAUUCCGAGUGUAGAGGUGAAAUUCGUAGAUAUUCGGAAGAACACCAGUGGCGAAGGCGACUGACUGGACAAGUAUUGACGCUGAGGUACGAAAGCGUGGGGAGCAAACAGGAUUAGAUACCCUGGUAGUCCACGCCGUAAACGAUGAUAACUAGCUGUCCCGGGUCGACUGGUGUACGUGGGUGGCGGCGAGCUAACGACAUUAAGUUAAUUACCGCCGUCGGGUAGGUACGGUCGCGAGAAGUUAAACGUAACGAAAGAAAGUUAAGUACGGCGUUGAGAGUUGCCGAACGGACGACGACGAGGGAGGAGG